AGAGUUUGAUCAUGGCUCAGAGUGAACGCUGGCGGCGUGCUUAACACAUGCAAGUCGAACGAGAACGGUCCUUCGGGAUGUCAGCUAAGUGGCGGACGGGUGAGUAAUGUAUAGUUAAUCUGCCCUUUAGAGAGGAAUAACUACUGGAAACGGUAGCUAAUACCUCAUACUCCUUUUACCUUAAUGGUAAUUGGGAAAUGUUUUUUCGCUAAAGGAUGAGACUAUAUGGUAUCAGGUAGUUGGUGGGGUAAGAGCCUACCAAGCCAAUGACGCCUAGCUGGUCUGAGAGGAUGAUCAGCCACACUGGAACUGAGACACGGUCCAGACUCCUACGGGAGGCAGCAGUGGGGAAUAUUGCACAAUGGACGAAAGUCUGAUGCAGCAACGCCGCGUGGAGGAUGACACAUUUCGGUGCGUAAACUCCUUUUAUAUGAGAAGAUAAUGACGGUAUCAUAUGAAUAAGCACCGGCUAACUCCGUGCCAGCAGCCGCGGUAAUACGGGGGGUGCAAGCGUUACUCGGAAUCACUGGGCGUAAAGAGCAUGUAGGCGGGUAAUUAAGUUGGAAGUGAAAUCCUAUGGCUCAACCAUAGAACUGCUUCCAAAACUGAUUACCUAGAGUAUGGGAGAGGUAGAUGGAAUUUCUGGUGUAGGGGUAAAAUCCGUAGAGAUCAGAAGGAAUACCGAUUGCGAAGGCGAUCUACUGGAACAUUACUGACGCUAAGAUGCGAAAGCGUGGGGAGCAAACAGGAUUAGAUACCCUGGUAGUCCACGCCCUAAACGAUGUACACUAGUUGUUGCUAUGCUAGACAUAGCAGUAAUGCAGUUAACACAUUAAGUGUACCGCCUGGGGGAGUACGGUCGCAAGAUUAAAACUCAAAGGAAUAGACGGGGACCCGCACAAGCGGUGGAGCAUGUGGUUUAAUUCGACGAUACGCGAAGAACCUUACCUGGCCUUGACAUAACAGGAAUUCUUUAGAGAUAGAGAAGUGCUAGCUUGCUAGAACCUGUAUACAGGUGCUGCACGGCUGUCGUCAGCUCGUGUCGUGAGAUGUUGGGUUAAGUCCCGCAACGAGCGCAACCCACGUGUCUAGUUACUAACAGUUCGGCUGAGGACUCUAGACAGACUGCCUUCGUAAGGAGGAGGAAGGUGUGGACGACGUCAAGUCAUCAUGGCCCUUACGGCCAGGGCUACACACGUGCUACAAUGGGGUAUACAGAGAGCCGCAAUACCGCGAGGUGGAGCAAAUCUUCAAAAUAUCUCCCAGUUCGGAUAGUAGUCUGCAACUCGACUACUUGAAGUUGGAAUCGCUAGUAAUCGUAGAUCAGCAAUGCUACGGUGAAUACGUUCCCGGGUCUUGUACUCACCGCCCGUCACACCAUGGGAGUUGAAUUCAUUCGAAGCGGGGAUGCUAAAAUAGCUACCUUCCACAGUGGAUUUAGUAACUAGGGUGAAGUCGUAACAAGGUA
rnacentral:rRNA from 1 species